rnacentral:rRNA from 1 species
GGGGUGCUCGAGUGGCGAACGGGUGAGUAACACGUGAGUAACCUGCCCUUGACUUUGGGAUAACUUCAGGAAACUGGGGCUAAUACCGGAUAGGAGCUCCUGCUGCAUGGUGGGGGUUGGAAAGUUUCGGCGGUUGGGGAUGGACUCGCGGCUUAUCAGCUUGUUGGUGGGGUAGUGGCUUACCAAGGCUUUGACGGGUAGCCGGCCUGAGAGGGUGACCGGCCACAUUGGGACUGAGAUACGACCCAG